rnacentral:lncRNA from 1 species
UUGUUUUUCAAAAAAAGAAGCAGAAUGUUUCUUCUUCCCUGCUCCCUCUCCAUUUUUUCUAGGAAUUCGACCUAGCUUGUGCCACCCUGGAGGAUCAUCGGUGCCACGCACCUCCAUCCCACCGCUGGUUCACGGAUCAAGACCAGGUAAGCCCUUAUUUCUUUCAUUUUACUUAAAAUCAGUCUAUAAACAAAAUAAAAAAAGAAGAAAAAAAAUACGAAUCAAAAGAAAGUUACAGGAAGAAGAAUGAAAAAUCACCUUUCAAACCUUAGACCAGAUUUUUGAUUUACUUCCGAUUUUUCUCUAUAAUUUCUGCUAGUGUACUUAUAUCAUGAGCCAAAAAAAAACCCCUUUUACAAUGUUUAGAAUGGCUUUUAUAGCCUAGAAAAAUAAAUAAAAUAUUCUAUUGGUUGCUAUUUGUUUGCUUCCUGUUACAGGUGUUGUUACAGAUAUCUCGGAAGCACGAGGCAUGACAAAGAGGGACUGCUGGUAGCGCACGUCUUGGAGGUGCGGUGGAUGUUGGAGGCACGUACGAUGUGGGGAUUGGGGUAUUGAGGUGAAUUUUGUUUUGGUUUUAGGCUGUUUUGGGUUAUAGGAUUGGGCUAGUGGUUAAUGUGUUUGAUUAGUGGGCUAGGCAAAGAAAAUUGGUCCAACAGCUGCCCCUCUUUGCUCAUUGUCGUGUAACGAGAAUAGAGUAAAGACUUAGAAGGGCCAAUUUUGCCUGGCCCCAUCAUGUCUUGACUUCUUGAUUGCCUCUUUUCUUCAAGUAGCCUCAUUUUAACCCACUGCAUCCUAUUACUUCCAGAUGUUUCAUUGAUGCUUUGUAGAUAUACAAUUUAUUGAGACUUGAUCCAUUCCAUUCCUGUUCAGUGGGGUGGGAUCUGCUGAAAUCUGAUCUGCUCCGCUCCUGUUCAGUGAAGAUAAGAUCUACUGUAAUUUGAUCUGCUUCACUCCUGCUCAGUAAAGAUGAGAUCUGGUAUGUUUAGCCUGUUUCACUCCUGCUCAGUGAAGAUAAGGCUGGUGGCUGAAAUCUGUUCCAUUGCCGAUACAUGGAGAUAAGACUCGCCAAAAUUUGAUCUGCUUCACUCCUGCUCAGUGAAGAUAAGAUCGGGUAUGUUUAGCCUACUCCACUCCUGCUCAGUGAAGAUAAGGUUGAUGAUUGGAAUCUGCUCCAUCGUCGGUACGUGGAGAUAAGAUUCUCCAAAAUUCGAUCUGCUUCACUCCUGCCCAGUGAAGAUAAGAUCUGGUAUUUAUCCUGCUCCACUCCUGCCCAGUGAAGAUAAGGCUAAUGAUAUCUGUAAUCCUGCUACAUUGUCCACUGGGAAUCCAUCUGUAGAAGAGUGAUAUGCUUAUGCUAGAUGAUUAGGAUGCCAUGAUUAAUAUGAAUCAAAUGCUUCUAACUACAUGUACUAUGGAUGUUAAAUGCACAAAAUGCAAAAUGUCAUGAGAAUGAUCCAUUUUUAAUUUUUGGGUUGUCAUCGCUCGUUGCUUACUAAGGUAACAUCCCUGACAUAUGCCUUCUUGUUCAACUCGGUAGAAGAGGACUUGGAGAUGCGGUUAAUUCCUUAUUUCUCACACGUUUUUAGCCCUUUUAAGCUCGGUGAGUUCUAAAUAAUUGUCCUGUUUUAGGUUCUCGUAUUGUUUAGAAACCUUUCAGAGUAAUAUGCAAAACCUUCUUUUGAAA